rnacentral:rRNA from 1 species
UACAGAGGGUGCGGGCGUUAAUCGGAAUUACUGGGCGUAAAGCGCACGUAGGUGGCGCCGUAAGUCGGGUGUGAACGCCCCGGGCUCAACCUGGGAAUUGCAUUCGAGACUGCAUUGCUGGAGUACGGAAGAGGAGGGCGGAAUUCCCGGUGUAGCGGUGAAAUGCGUAGAUAUCGGGAGGAACAUCAGUGGCGAAGGCGGCCCUCUGGUCCAGUACUGACACUCAAGUGCGAAAGCGUGGGGAGCAAACAGG